rfam:Nasonia vitripennis chromosome 1, whole genome shotgun sequence.
UAAUCUGCCUUUUUCAAGGCAACUAAAUAUUUAAUGUAGAACUGAUU